UACGGAGGGUGCAAGCGUUAUCCGGAUUCACUGGGUUUAAAGGGUGCGUAGGUGGUGGGGUAAGUUUGAUGUGAAAGCUCCGGGCUUAACCCGGAAAUGGCAUUGAAUACUAUCUCGCUUGAGGGUUGGAGGGGAGACUGGAAUUCUUGGUGUAGCAGUGAAAUGCGUAGAUAUCAAGAGGAACACCAGUGGCGAAGGCGAGUCUCUGGACAACUCCUGACACUGAGGCACGAAAGCUAGGGGAGCAAACAGG
rnacentral:rRNA from 1 species